UAAUACGGAGGGUGCAAGCGUUAUCCGGAUUUAUUAGGUUUAAAGGGUUCGCAGGCGGAAUUUUAAGUCAGUGGUGAAAGCCUACAGCUCAACUGUAGAACUGCCAUUGAUACUGAUAUUCUUGAGUAUAGAUGAAGUGGGCGGAAUAUGUCAUGUAGCGGUGAAAUGCAUAGAUAUGACAUGGAACACCAAUUGCGAAGGCAGCUCACUAAACUAUUACUGACGCUCAUGAACGAAAGCGUGGGGAGCGAACAGGAUUAGAUACCCUGGUAGUCCACGCCGUAAACUAUGAUCACUAGAUGUUGGCGAUAUAUUGUCAGUGUUUUAGAGAAAUCGUUAAGUGAUCCACCUGGGGAGUACGUUCGCAAGAAUG
rnacentral:rRNA from 1 species